rnacentral:lncRNA from 12 species
GUUCUUCAGGGUAGUCAGGAGCUGGUGGAGAUGUCUUCAGCCAGCAGAGAGUGGUGGUCCAUGAUCCAGUCUCUGAGUUCAGACCCAUCCACUGCAGAAAACCGAGGAGGGGAAUCAGGUUCCACCAGUCUUCAAGAUGGACUCACCUACGAGGACAUACAGAGUAUGGUGGAGGAUGUGCUGGAGGAAAACGGCUAUUACUGCAGCAGAAGUGACGUGGAUUCAGGAGCGGGAACCAGACGAACUCAAUCCCCGUGACCCCCAGCAGCGCUCGUGUCUGCCCGACGACAGCCUCUCAGGUCAACCUGACAAUAAUCACAUUGUGAAUCAUAAGCUGAUUAUGUGCAUCUGAGAAACACGUGCCGAUAUCUGAAAUAUAUUGACACAAUAUAAGAUUGCAAUAUUAGUCAGUGCACGCACACAUAGAUGAUUGACCUCAUUUGAAUCUGUGCACUUUAAUGUGUGUGUGAUUUUCCUCACUGUUUUUACAGAUUCACACAAAACAGACAUUUGAAAUAAAUAUAGUUUCAAUAUAAAAUAGUACUUUAGUUUUUACUCAGUAAAUUAAUUUAUUGCUUUACCCAUGUUACAAAUUGGUGGAAGUUGGUUUAACAAAGCUCAAGAGCAUUUAUACGUGAUGUGUGUGUAUUUAUGUGUGUGUGUGUGUGUGUGUGUGGUAUAAUGACAUUGUUUGUCUUUCUAUAUUUUAUACAUGUUCAGUAGCGUCCAAAAGCCUGAGAGCACAUAGAAAAUCAUUGAUUGUUCUCUUUAAUCCUGCUAAGAAAGUAAAAAAAAAGUAAAGAAAGUUUAUAAAAUUGAGAGAAAUAUUUAAUAUUCUGCCGAAUUUCAAAUGUAAGACAAAAUUUGUCAUGAAAAUGUUUUUUUUUUUUAGGUAACACUUCACGUUAACAUCUCAUUUUUUAACAUUACCUAACAAUGAGCAUGAUAUGAUUUAUUUUAAUAUAUAUAUAUAUAUAUAUAUUUGUGUGUGUACACAACAGCAAUAUAUAAACUUUUAAAAUGGCAUUUAUAAAUCUUUGUGAAUGGUAGUUAAUAAAAAUAGAUCUGUUUAUGUUUAUUCAUGCUAGUUCACAGUAAAUUUAUUAAUGGUAAAAGAUACAUUUUAUUUUGAAAAUGUAUUAAAUAUGGAAAUUAAGAUUAAUGCUGAAAUGUUGUAAUGAUUUAAGUAUUGUUAUUAGUUAAUGUUAACUAAUGUAGCAAGUAAUGUUAACAAGUAAAAUCUAACUGUGAAGUUUUACCUGUUAUUUUAUUUUAUAUUUAAUUUUUUUUUUUUUUUUUUACAUUUUUAAAUAAGAGAACAGUUUAUUGACAAAACAUUUUUUAAAAUCUACAAAAAACAAAUGUAUGUUUCUAAAGAUUGUAUCCUAUCCUGUGUUUUCCUAAUUAACCGAUUUUAGAAAUAAUUUCGGAAAAUGUUUGAAAUAUGUAUACAA